GGUUUAAUUCGAAGCAACGCGAAGAACCUUACCAGCCCUUGACAUACCGAUCGCGAUUAGUGGAGACACUUUUCUUCAGUUCGGCUGGAUCGGAUACAGGUGCUGCAUGGCUGUCGUCAGCUCGUGUCGUGAGAUGUUGGGUUAAGUCCCGCAACGAGCGCAACCCUCGACCUUAGUUGCCAGCAUUCAGUUGGGCACUCUAAGGUGACUGCCGGCUAAAAGUCGGAGGAAGGUGGGGAUGACGUCAAAUCAUCAUGCCCCUUAUGACCUGGGCUACACACGUGCU
rnacentral:rRNA from 1 species